GAUGAACGCUGGCGGCGUGCCUAAUACAUGCAAGUAGAACGCUGAAGCUUGGUGCUUGCACCGAGCGGAUGAGUUGCGAACGGGUGAGUAACGCGUAGGUAACCUGCCUCUUAGCGGGGGAUAACUAUUGGAAACGAUAGCUAAUACCGCAUAAAAGUCGAUAUCGCAUGAUAUUGAUUUGAAAGGUGCAAUUGCAUCACUAAGAGAUGGACCUGCGUUGUAUUAGCUAGUUGGUGAGGUAACGGCUCACCAAGGCAACGAUACAUAGCCGACCUGAGAGGGUGAUCGGCCACACUGGGACUGAGACACGGCCCAGACUCCUACGGGAGGCAGCAGUAGGGAAUCUUCGGCAAUGGGGGCAACCCUGACCGAGCAACGCCGCGUGAGUGAAGAAGGUUUUCGGAUCGUAAAGCUCUGUUGUAAGAGAAGAACGAGUGUGAGAGUGGAAAGUUCACACUGUGACGGUAACUUACCAGAAAGGGACGGCUAACUACGUGCCAGCAGCCGCGGUAAUACGUAGGUCCCGAGCGUUAUCCGGAUUUAUUGGGCGUAAAGCGAGCGCAGGCGGUUAGAUAAGUCUGAAGUUAAAGGCUGUGGCUUAACCAUAGUACGCUUUGGAAACUGUUUAACUUGAGUGCAGAAGGGGAGAGUGGAAUUCCAUGUGUAGCGGUGAAAUGCGUAGAUAUAUGGAGGAACACCGGUGGCGAAAGCGGCUCUCUGGUCUGUAACUGACGCUGAGGCUCGAAAGCGUGGGGGAGCAAACAGG
rnacentral:rRNA from 1 species